rnacentral:rRNA from 1 species
CCUACGGGGGGCUGCAGUGAGGAAUAUUGGUCAAUGGACGCAAGUCUGAACCAGCCAUGCCGCGUGCAGGAUGACUGCUCUAUGAGUUGUAAACUGCUUUUGUACAAGGGUAAACGCAGAUACGCGUAUCUGUCUGAAAGUAUCUUACGAAUAAGGAUCGGCUAACUCCGUGCCAGCAGCCGCGGUAAUACGGAGGAUUCAAGCGUUAUCCGGAUUUAUUGGGUUUAAAGGGUGCGUAGGCGGUCGGAUAAGUUAGAGGUGAAAUACCGAGGCUCAACUUCGGAAUUGCCUCUGAUACUGUCAGGCUAGAGAGUAGUUGCGGUAGGCGGAAUGUAUGGUGUAGCGGUGAAAUGCUUAGAGAUCAUACAGAACACCGAUUGCGAAGGCAGCUUACCAAGCUACUUCUGACGUUGAGGCACGAAAGCGUGGGGAGCAAACAGGAUUAGAUACCCCUGUAGUC